GAUGAACGCUAGCUACAGGCUUAACACAUGCAAGUCGAGGGACCGGCGCACGGGUGCGUAACACGUAUCCAACCUGCCCUUAACUCGGGGAUAGCCUUUCGAAAGAAAGAUUAAUACUCGAUAUAAAGGAUGGGGAUGCGUUCCAUUAGGUUGUUGGUGAGGUAACGGCCCACCAAGCCUUCGAUGGAUAGGGGUUCUGAGAGGAAGGUCCCCCACAUUGGAACUGAGGCCCGGUCCAAACUCCUACGGGUGGCAGCAGUGAGGAGUAUUGGUCAAGGGGCGCUAGCCUGAACCUGCCAAGUGUCGGGAAGGAUGAAGUGUUAUUGGUCGUAAACUUCUUUUAUAUAAGAAUAUGUAUUAUAUGAAUAAGGAUCGGCUAACUCCGUGCCAGCAGCCGCGGUAAUAC
rnacentral:rRNA from 1 species